GUUAAAACACCGGUUCUCGUACGAUCCCCGAAGUUAAGCAACGUCGAACCGUGUCAGUACCUAGAUCGUUGACCACCUGGGCGCACCAGGU